UACAGAGGUCUCAAGCGUUGUUCGGAUUCAUUGGGCGUAAAGGGUGCGUAGGCGGCGCGGUAAGUCGGGUGUGAAAUCUCGGAGCUUAACUCCGAAACUGCAUUCGAUACUGCCGUGCUUGAGGACUGGAGAGGAGACUGGAAUUUACGGUGUAGCGGUGAAAUGCGUAGAUAUCGUAAGGAAGACCAGUGGCGAAGGCGGGCAUCUGGGCCAACACUGACGCUGAGGCGCGAAAGCUAGGGGAGCAAACAGG
rnacentral:rRNA from 1 species